UUGUGCCAUCUGUGAAUCUCUGCGAAUGAAGCGCACCGAGAUGCUACUGUCACACUAAUCCUUCGAUACGCGCCUCGAAUGCUUUAUGUUCUAAGGAAAAUUCUUCUGUCUUUUUUUACACGCGACAUUGAAAAAAAUGCGACCAAUAGCAAGGAAAUCAUAGAAUACCGGCCUUAUAAAGUUGCUUGAGGAAACUGUUAACUGCGGUAGAAGUAAAGUAUUUAGAAAAUACGACGCACGAAGCGCAACUGUCAUGGCGUCCUCAGUACUCGCUGCAAACAGGAUCAAGCUAAGACAGACCAUGGAAAAUGAGACGUAUAGUCGUAACCGUCGACCUUUCGCCGUUUUGCUGGGGACGAAUAUUCUGGCACCUCCGAGCCCGACGCCAUUUUCAACAGCAAUGCAUUGCACACUUUGAUGAGCGGGCCGGUAGCCUAACAGAGGUCGCUUUUGUCCACAAUAUCCCCUCCUUGGUCUUAGAUGGGAAUAGGUGACGGCAACUAGACCGAUUUCUACCACUUAACAAUAAAAUCAAAUAAUGGCACAAAAACUAUCAUUGCAAAUUAUAGUCAUAUAUUUUAUGUUUUAACCUCGAUUACAAUUCUACCUAAAAAAAUACACGCACAUACAACAUCAUAUAUUUUAUUAAGAAAUCGCAUUUAGUUCAUUAAAUAAAUUCAUAAAACUUUAACCGUUAUCAUUAUUUUACAAUAUGUAAAAAUAUCAAAUGUAAUAAGGAAAAUACAAUUUAUGUAUGUAUUUUAUUUUCUAAUAUAAUAUAUAUUUAUCA